AGAGUUUGAUCCUGGCUCAGGACGAACGCUGGCGGCGUGCCUAAUACAUGCAAGUAGAACGCUGAAGGAGGGAGCUUGCUUCUUCUGGAUGAGUUGCGAACGGGUGAGUAACGCGUAGGUAACCUGCCUGAUAGCGGGGGAUAACUAUUGGAAACGAUAGCUAAUACCGCAUAAGAGGUAAUAACACAUGUUAUUAGUUUAAAAGGGGCAAUUGCUCCACUAUCAGAUGGACCUGCGUUGUAUUAGCUAGUUGGUAAGGUAACGGCUUACCAAGGCGACGAUACAUAGCCGACCUGAGAGGGUGAUCGGCCACACUGGGACUGAGACACGGCCCAGACUCCUACGGGAGGCAGCAGUAGGGAAUCUUCGGCAAUGGGGGCAACCCUGACCGAGCAACGCCGCGUGAGUGAAGAAGGUUUUCGGAUCGUAAAGCUCUGUUGUAAGAGAAGAACGGAUGUGGGAGUGGAAAAUCCAUGUCGUGACGGUAUCUUACCAGAAAGGGACGGCUAACUACGUGCCAGCAGCCGCGGUAAUACGUAGGUCCCGAGCGUUGUCCGGAUUUAUUGGGCGUAAAGCGAGCGCAGGCGGUUUCAUAAGUCUGAAGUUAAAGGCAGUGGCUUAACCAUUGUACGCUUUGGAAACUGUGAGACUUGAGUGCAGAAGGGGAGAGUGGAAUUCCAUGUGUAGCGGUGAAAUGCGUAGAUAUUAGGAGGAACACCAGUGGCGAAGGCGGCCUACUGGACGACAACUGACGCUGAGGCGCGAAAGCGUGGGGAGCAAACAGGAUUAGAUACCCUGGUAGUCCACGCUGUAAACGAUGAAUACUAGGUGUGGGGGGACUGACCCCUUCCGUGCCGCAGUUAACACAAUAAGUAUUCCACCUGGGGAGUACGAUCGCAAGAUUGAAACUCAAAGGAAUUGACGGGGGCCCGCACAAGCAGUGGAUUAUGUGGUUUAAUUCGACGCAACGCGAAGAACCUUACCGGGAUUUGACAUCCUACUAACGAAGUAGAGAUACAUUAGGUGCCCUUCGGGGAAAGUUGAGACAGGUGGUGCAUGGUUGUCGUCAGCUCGUGUCGGGAGAUGUUGGGUUAAGUCCCGCAACGAGCGCAACCCCUAUUGCUAGUUGCUACGCAAGAGCACUCUAGCGAGACUGCCGUUGACAAAACGGAGGAAGGCGGGGACGACGUCAAAUCAUCAUGCCCCUUAUGUCCUGGGCUACACACGUAAUACAAUGGUGGUUAACAGAGGGAAGCAAGAGAGCGAUCUGGAGCAAAUCCCUAAAAGCCAUCUCAGUUCGGAUUGCAGGCUGCAACUCGCCUGCAUGAAGCUGGAAUUGCUAGUAAUCGCGCAUCAGCCAUGGCGCGGUGAAUACGUUCCCGGGCCUUGUACACACCGCCCGUCA
rnacentral:rRNA from 1 species